rnacentral:rRNA from 1 species
AGGACGAACGCUGGCGGCGUGCUUAACACAUGCAAGUCGAGCGAGACCCCGCUUUCGGGUGGGUGUUCUAGCGGCGAACGGGUGAGUAACACGUGGGCAACCUGCCCUCAGCUCUGGGAUAACUCCAAGAAAUUGGGGCUAAUACCGGAUAUGACCGCUGACCGCAUGGUCUGGUGGUGGAAAGAUUUAUCGGCUGGGGAUGGGCCCGCGGCCUAUCAGCUUGUUGGUGGGGUAAUGGCCUACCAAGGCGACGACGGGUA